UGAUGUUGUUUCUCCAUGUCAAAAUGUAUUAAUUGGCUGCUAUAUGAAACAUGUCUAUUUUUUCCUCUAAUUAUUUCUAUUUUAACUAAUAUCUUACUCAUUUUUAAAGUACAUGAUGAUUUGUUGUUGACUUGCAUACAAAAGAAGAGAAGUUUAUUUACCAUGUGUAGUUCUUGUUCGUGUGAACUCUUAAUCAUUUUCUAUUUAUUUCAGGUUCUUCAUAACAUUGCUAUUGCAUAAUACUUUCACUGGAAUAUGCUACGAAACCUUGCUGGCAUCUAUUAUGAACAAAGUCAACUUGACAUGGCAAUUCUGCAUUACAAGCAAGCUAUCAAUUGUGAUUCUACCUUUAUUGAAGCUUACAAUAAUCUGGGGAAUGCUCUCAAAGACGCUGGACAUGUGGAAGAGGCUAUCAACUUCUAUAGGGUGACUUUUUAAUUUGGAUAUUUUUAUUCUCUUAAGUUUUUUUUCCUUGUUGAAUAACUUCAUUUUAAUAAUUUUUCCCAAGUCAUGCCUUGCUUUACAACCUAACCAUCCACAAGCAUUGUCAAGCCU